rnacentral:lncRNA from 1 species
GCCAGACUCAGAAGCAGCUGUAUCCGUGCUGGCAUGGGCUCUGUGGGCUGAUACCGAAAAGAGACAUUUGCUUUUCUCUGCAACUACUUGUGAAUGAGCAGUGUAACUCUUUCCUUGGAGAUUUUUACAACAUCCUGGCCCUGAGACGCCACACCUCUUGGAUUCUCAUCGCUCAUCUGUGUUGCUCUGAGGUAAGGCAUCAGAUAUUAAGUCAGAAUUUGUCAAUAUUGGUUAAAUG